UCUAACAAAGUGCAUUAGCCUGGGGAGUU
rnacentral:piRNA from 1 species